ACGCACUCCUACGGGAGGCAGCAGUAGGGAAUCUUCCGCAAUGGACGAAAGUCUGACGGAGCAACGCCGCGUGAGCGAUGAAGGCCUUCGGGUCGUAAAGCUCUGUUGUUAGGGAAGAAUAAGUACCGGAGUAACUGCCGGUACCUUGACGGUACCUAACCAGAAAGCCACGGCUAACUACGUGCCAGCAGCCGCGGUAAUACGUAGGUGGCAAGCGUUGUCCGGAAUUAUUGGGCGUAAAGCGCGCGCAGGCGGUCCUUUAAGUCUGAUGUGAAAGCCCACGGCUCAACCGUGGAGGGUCAUUGGAAACUGGGGACUUGAGUACAGAAGAGGAAAGCGGAAUUCCACGUGUAGCGGUGAAAUGCGUAGAGAUGUGGAGGAACACCAGUGGCGAAGGCGGCUUUCUGGUCUGUAACUGACGCUGAGGCGCGAAAGCGUGGGGAGCAAACAGGAUUAGAUACCCUGGUAG
rnacentral:rRNA from 1 species